UUCCGGUUGAUCCUGCCAGAGGCCGCUGCUAUCCGGCUGGGACUAAGCCAUGCGAGUCAAGGGGCUUGUAUCCCUUCGGGGAUGCAAGCACCGGCGGACGGCUCAGUAACACGUGGACAACCUGCCCUCGGGUGGGGGAUAACCCCGGGAAACUGGGGCUAAUCCCCCAUAGGGGAUGGGUACUGGAAUGUCUCAUCUCCGAAAGCGCUUAGCGCCCGAGGAUGGGUCUGCGGCGGAUUAGGUUGUUGGUGGGGUAACGGCCCACCAAGCCGAAGAUCCGUACGGGCCAUGAGAGUGGGAGCCCGGAGAUGGACCCUGAGACACGGGUCCAGGCCCUACGGGGCGCAGCAGGCGCGAAACCUCCGCAAUGCGGGAAACCGCGACGGGGUCAGCCGGAGUGCUCGCGCAUCGCGCGGGCUGUCGGGGUGCCUAAAAAGCACCCCACAGCAAGGGCCGGGCAAGGCCGGUGGCAGCCGCCGCGGUAAUACCGGCGGCCCGAGUGGCGGCCACUUUUAUUGGGCCUAAAGCGUCCGUAGCCGGGCUGGCAAGUCCUCAGGGAAAUCUGGCGGCUUAACCGUCAGACUGCCGGAGGAUACUGCCAGCCUAGGGACCGGGAGAGGCCGAGGGUAUUCCCGGAGUAGGGGUGAAAUCCUGUAAUCCCGGGAGGACCACCUGUGGCGAAGGCGCCCGGCUGGAACGGGUCCGACGGUGAGGGACGAAGGCCUGGGGAGCGAACCGGAUUAGAUACCCGGGUAGUCCUGGCUGUAAACGAUGCGGACUAGGUGUCACCGAAGCUACGAGCUUCGGUGGUGCCGGAGGGAAGCCGUUAAGUCCGCCGCCUGGGGAGUACGGCCGCAAGGCUGAAACUUAAAGGAAUUGGCGGGGGAGCACUACAACGGGUGGAGCCUGCGGUUUAAUUGGAUUCAACGCCGGG
rnacentral:rRNA from 1 species